UUCAUCUUCUUCAUGAUUUCUUUCAGACCAUCAUCACUAUUCUACUCCCUCACACCAUCACAAUACCUUUUCGCGUAACCUGCACAUCGCUGGAGUUGGAGGUCUUGCCGGAGAACUCGAAGUCGCCAGAGUUGGAGGUCUCGCCGGAACCGGAAUUUCACGACGGAGUUUCGAUCCUCUUCAUUUUUGGUAUACGAUUAUUAUCCCAUUUGAAAGAAAUUAUGAAGAAGAUGAAUUAGCCUAAAAAGCCGAAUGGAAGUGAAGAUGGUCCUCCUUCUGCAGACUCCUUAAGCGUUAGCCCAGGUGGACAACAUAAGAACACUGUGGUGGGCUUUUCUUCUAGGUUGGAAGAGCGCGUAGAAAAGCAAAAAAAGGUUUUAUACACAUCAUGAAAGAAAUCACGAAGAAGAUGAAUUAAGGAAGAAGAUGAAUUAAGGAAGAAGAUGAAAGGAAAAAAAAUAAUCUAGGGUUUUGUUUAUAAAGUCAUAAAAUGUGGGAGGGGAAAUUACAUUUUUAGACAUUAUGUGCAAUUCAUGUGCCAAUUAAUUAACCAGAGUUAGGGUUUGGUUA